AAUUGACUUUGACAGAACGUCUGAGGUGUCUUGGGUAGAUUGAGACUCAUAGAUAUGCUAGCUAGCUAGCUGCUAAUAUAUGCUGAGAAAGGUUUCCGUUUACUGAUAUCGACAUCUUGACACAAGGAAACAUGAAAAGAAACGGAAAUUACACAUCCAAUUUGGUCAGAUUUGGGAGAUCCAGAGAAUUGUGUAGGAGCACAGUUACACACAGAGCAAAAAGAAGAAAACCUGCAGGCAUAGGCAUGAGAAAGAGGUUUCUUUGGAUGCACAUCUGAGUUGGGGUUGGACAGAGAAGCACUCCUCUCCGAUUGACUCUUCUUCAUUUCGUCCUCCGGCUUCUACGCUUGCGCACUUGCUUGCACCACCUUCUUCCCUCUAUUUUCUUCCUGAUUGACAUCUGACCAGUUGAACUGUUCAAUUUAUUGCUCAUGUGCUCCAACUCAUCAGGUCACCAUUGGUCAAUGAUGUUGUGGUGUUGUAUAGCUGUGUGAUAUGAACAGCUUACUUGAAUGCAUGAAGCAAGUGCAAUGCAUUCCUGGAGUUAGCUACAGCAUUUGUGGGGGUAUGGCCUGGCCACCAUUACUUCUUCAGAGUUCAGGUUUUGUGCCUAUUUGGCCACAUUUGAACCUAUGAUAUGCAUGUGUGUCUGAUUUGUCCUAACCUAAUUAAGCCAAUGUAGCUAGGAACUUUAGGCAGAUUUAUUCCAUACAGGGUAAAUGGACAUGAAACAAAUGCAAUGUAGAUGUAGCUAUAGGGUGAUGACCAUCCAAGAGUGAGGCUGGAAUGAUUUCUUCUUUGUCGGCGUUGAGACAUCAGGGAAAAAAAAAGAUUGACCACACCAUGGUUGAAUUGACUAGACCGGUAGAGUAGAGUCAAUCCAACGUUGGUGACAGAGAUACAGAAUGGUCGUUUUCGGUAGCCAAACUUGACUUUUGCGGCGGAUUCAGUGUUGAAAAAAAAAAUCAUGUUUUGUUCUCUCAGAAAGAAUAAGAAAUGAGCAUAUAUUCACCUCACAAAUGCUCUACUGACAAAAGGAUGGUAUAAAUUCCUACUCUGCUUGACAACUUUCCUAAAUGAAAUGGGAACAUAUCCAGCUAGGGGACGCCAUUAUUCUUAUUCAUCUCCUCUCCUAAUAGCUAUGGAAUUUCAAGAAAAAAAAAGAAAAGCUAAAUUGGGGGAUGCCAUUAUUCUUAUUCAUCUCCUAAUAUCUAUAGAAUUGGAAAAGGAAAAAAAAGGAAAAGCUAAAUUGGUUUCAGUUUCAAACAAUAAUCCAACUGCAUCAGUUUAAGUUCUUCACCUGUACAGAGUACACUGUAGGUCUAAGCGCUACUUUUUCCAUUUUGUACUUGCAAUAUCAUAUCACAG
rnacentral:lncRNA from 1 species